ensembl:rRNA 5S_rRNA 5S ribosomal RNA
CCUGGCAGCCAUAUCCCCCUGUGGCCCAAGACUGGUCGCCCACUGAAGCUAAGCAGGAUUGAGCCUGGUCAGUACCUGGAUGGGAGACCUCUGGGGAAAACCAGGUGCUGUUGGAA